rnacentral:rRNA from 1 species
CAGUAGCCGCGGGAAUACAGAGGGUGCGAGCGUUAAUCGGAUUUACUGGGCGUAAAGCGUGCGUAGGCGGCUAAUUGAGUCGGAUGUGAAAUCCCCGAGCUUAACUUGGGAAUUGCAUUCGAUACUGGUUAGCUAGAGUGUGGGAGAGGAUGGUAGAAUUCCAGGUGUAGCGGUGAAAUGCGUAGAGAUCUGGAGGAAUACCGAUGGCGAAGGCAGCCAUCUGGCCUAACACUGACGCUGAGGUACGAAAGCAUGGGGAGCAAACAGGAUUAGAGACCCCAGUAGUCCCUGUCUCUUAUAC